UAAUUUAUUUUUGUAUCUGUAAAUUUUAACACAAAUAUUUGUCUGUUUUAAUGAUUAAGUGUUCUAGGUGUGUUUGAGAGGUCUUGGGUUCAAGUCUUACCUUUGCCAAAUUUUGUUAUUUUUUUAAUCCUAGCCUUACCCUUGUUGAGUGGACUUAUAUAAAAUUGUCUGUUAAUUUAUAUCAGAAUGAGCUUGCUAGUUUGAGUGGUAAAAGAGUUAAUAUGUUGGAGGUUUUGUGUUUAAAUCCUUAUGUCAAUAAGAGUGUUAAUUUUUUCUCAGUUGUUUGAUAAAGUUUCGGUGGAGCCAAAACUCUGAUGUAGUUGUGAGUUAGUGGGAGAGAUAUGGGGGAUUUUUGUUAUCAAUUUUUUUUUCAAUUUUUUUCUCUCUCCUUCAGAAAAUUUUGACGUGAGUUUUCCCUCCUCUCUUUUUCCCUUGGUUAAUCUGUGCAACUUUCUUUUUGUUUCUCUCAUUAUACUCGAAUUUUGGUGCUUGCCUUGGAAUUUAGGUAAGAGAGUUAUUUUCGUUUUAAUUUUUGGUAAACUGUUAGAUAUACCCUUUCUGUAGUGUGUUUUCAGCGUAGUUAAGGGCUUGAUUCCUACGUAAUUCUUGUGUAGGAGAAGGAGGUGGUGAAAGAGUUUUGCUCUGAUGGUCUAAAUCGUGUAGAUAUCUGUCUUUGUCGACGGUUCAAAGGGCUCGGAGUUUCUGUAGCAUCUUAAACAAAUCAGUCCAUAGGCUUAGGCAGAUCGGUGCGACGGAGCCUCAUGAUGACCACGAGUUUAUAAAUGGUUUAUGAUUAUGAUUUUAUUUUGAUUUUAAGGAUUAUUUCUGGAGUUUUGUAAUACUUGGACUCCCGGACUAUUUGGUAUAAUUUCAGAA